UGUUACAGGCCAAGGAGAACU
rnacentral:misc_RNA from 1 species